AGAGUUUGAUCAUGGCUCAGGACGAACGCUUGCGGCGUGCCUAAAAAAUGCAAGUCGAGCGGAGGAGAGGCUUCGGUUUCUCCUUAGCGGCGAACGGUCGCGUAACACGUAAGCAACCUGCCCCGAAGACCGGGACAACAUUCCGAAAGGGGUGCUAAUACCGGAUGUGGCCGCCUGGGGACAUCUCCUGGCGUCUAAAUCACUUGUUGGCUUCGGGAGGGGCUUGCGGCCUAUCAGUUAGAUGGGGGGGUAACGGCCUCCCAUGACGACGACGGGUAGCUGGUCUGAGAGGAUGGUCAGCCGGACUGGGACUGAGAGACGGCCCAGACUCCUACGGGGGGCAGCAAUUAGGAAUCUUGUGCAAUGGGCGAAAGCCUGACACAGCGACGCCGCGUGAGGGAGGACGGCCUUCGGGUUGUAAACCUCUUUUGACGAGGAAGAAACAAAUGACGGUACUCGUCGAAUAAGCCCCGGCUAACUCCGUGCCAGCCGCCGCGGUAAUUC
rnacentral:rRNA from 1 species